rnacentral:rRNA from 1 species
CAUUACAGAGUUCAUGCCCUAACGGGUAGACCUCCCACCCUUGUGUAUUUAUACUUUGUUGCUUUGGCGGAGUCGCAGAUCACAGUUGUGACAUCAGCUCGCGUUGACACUCCUCCGCCAGAGGAAACCUAAAUUCUGAUUAUUAGUGUCGUCUGAGUACUAUAUAAUAGUUAAAACUUUCAACAACGGAUCUCUUGGUUCUGGCAUCGAUGAAGAACGCAGCGAAAUGCGAUAAGUAAUGUGAAUUGCAGAAUUCAGUGAAUCAUCGAAUCUUUGAACGCACAUUGCGCCCCUUGGUAUUCCGGGGGGCAUGCCUGUUCGAGCGUCAUUUCAACCCUCAAGCUCAGCUUGGUAUUGGGAUUCAUCGGUAAAACGAUGGUCCUCAAAAUCAGUGGCGGCGCCGUUGGGUCCUGAACGUAGUAAUAUAUUUCGUUACAGGUACCUCGCGUGCUUCUGCCAUUAAACCCCAAAUUUUCUAUGGUUGACCUCGG